GACGAACGCUGGCGGCGUGCUUAACACAUGCAAGUCGAACGGAAAGGCCCUGCUUUUGUGGGGUGCUCGAGUGGUGAACGGGUGAGUAACACGUGAGUAACCUGCCCUUGACUUUGGGAUAACUUCAGGAAACUGGGGCUAAUACCGGAUAGGAGCUCCUACUGCAUGGUGGGGGUUGGAAAGUUUCGGCGGUUGGGGAUGGACUCGCGGCUUAUCAGCUUGUUGGUGGGGUAGUGGCUUACCAAGGCUUUGACGGGUAGCCGGCCUGAGAGGGUGACCGGCCACAUUGGGACUGAGAUACGGCCCAGACUCCUACGGGAGGCAGCAGUGGGGAAUAUUGCACAAUGGGCGGAAGCCUGAUGCAGCAACGCCGCGUGCGGGAUGACGGCCUUCGGGUUGUAAACCGCUUUCGCCUGUGACGAAGCGUGAGUGACGGUAAUGGGUAAAGAAGCACCGGCUAACUACGUG
rnacentral:rRNA from 1 species